rnacentral:rRNA from 1 species
UGGGGAAUAUUGCACAAUGGAGGGAACUCUGAUGCAGCGACGCCGCGUGAACGAAGAAGGCUUUCGAGUCGUAAAGUUCUUUUAUAUGGGAAGAUAAUGACGGUACCAUAAGAAAAAGCCCCGGCUAACUACGUGCCAGCAGCCGCGGUAAUACGUAGGGGGCUAGCGUUGUCCGGAAUCACUGGGCGUAAAGGGUUCGCAGGCGGAAAUGCAAGUCAGGUGUAAAAGGCAGUAGCUUAACUACUGUAAGCAUUUGAAACUGCAUAUCUUGAGAAGAGUAGAGGUAAGUGGAAUUUUUAGUGUAGCGGUGAAAUGCGUAGAUAUUAAAAAGAAUACCGGUGGCGAAGGCGACUUACUGUGCUCAUUCUGACGCUGAGGAACGAACGCGUGGGUAGCAAACAGG